GCGCGCCACAGUUAGGAACGAUUAAGGUUACGGAACAGAGUGACAAGCGUGGCCACAUAACCUUGCCUUCACUCUAACAGCAGCAAUAACAGCAACAACAACAAUAACAGCGGUAACAAUCACAGGUAACCCACAGGAACCAUGACUGUGGCGGCGUUGGCAGCAGCAGUAGCAACAGCAGCAGUACUCGCUGUGACAUGCAUCGCCCCAUCAGCAGCAGAACACAGCCAGCUCCUGGACGCCUCGCCUUUCUUCCUGGAGCCCCCCGCGCCUAGGGACACUCCUGAAGGCCACGUGGGAAGCUUCCAGGGGCUCGCUGACGUGGCCCCUGCAGGAGGAGAUUACCAUGUCCCUUUAAGUUCUCCUUUCGAUAAGUCAGAUUUUGAAGAAGAGCGAUUUGAUUACCCUUCAGAGGAUGUUGUGGAAGAUCAAGCGGCAAUUCCAGAUAUUCCAGGGACUCCAGCGUUCCAGGAAGGUGGUGGUGAUGAGGACACACCAUAUGAGACUCCAUUCCAGCACCCAGACAUUCCAGAACAGACACAGGCUCCAGAAAUGAGGGAAGAGCAGCACCCGCCCCCUCCAUCUUCAGAACCAGCAUUCCAGGACGCACCAGUGGCUGAGGUGACGCCCUUGCAAGAGGAAGAGCUGCAGUUACAAGCCCCAAGUAACCAGAACCAGCCACGGAACAAGGAACCAAAGAACCAGUAUGAAAUUAACUCCCCAGUACCUAAGUUUGCUUCGCCCCAGUAUGAAGAGAGUCAAGAUGUAGUGGUGCUAUCAACGCCCCCACGCCCUUCAAGAUCCUCGCCCAUUUCUUCACGCCCACGCCCACCCCAGUACUCCCAGAUACCCUACCGCCGCACAGCACACCCUAAUGAGCUUCCAGUGUACUCCAACAACGGCCCUUACGAUCUGGAGACUCAGGGUUCGAGGGAGCAGUACAGAGUGGCAUACGACUACGACGACCUGCCAGUGGGUCUUCAAGGGGAGGAGCUGGAGGAGGAGGAAGAGGAGGAGGAGCCAGACCGCCUUAGUGUUCUUCUGUUGGACUCCACCUUCACGUGUUUCCAGAAGAACAAUGGCUACUAUGCUGACGAAGAGCUGGAAUGUGAGGUGUUCCAUUACUGUCAGGAUAACGUGAAGCACUCCUGGCUGUGUCCUGCUGGGGCGUCCUUCCAUCAGGUACACCUCAUCUGCAUGCCACGAUCAGAGGACAACAUAUGCGCACGUUCUUCUAAAUUCCACUUCGUCAAUGACUUUUUAUACAAGGAACUACAGGCGGAGGAUGGGCGGAACAAGACUUACGCAGACAGAUAUUACCCAGAAGGCUUUGAAUUCGGCGUGGGAGGAACAGGAGGGCAGGUGACGAGUGAUCCAGGAUACAAUGAUGGCUUUGCUGCUGGAAAUGCUGGUGAUCCUGGAAACUUUGGUGCUGGAAAUGUGUCUCCAGGAGGUUUUGGUGCUGGAAAUGUGUCUCCAGGAGGUUUUGGUGCUGGAAAUAAUGCUGGCGGUGGCUUUAACAAUGCAGGUCAGCCUCCCCACCGCCCUCGCCGCCCUAGACCGAACCAGCAGCCGCCACCAGCCUUCCUUGACGCUUUAUCUCGCCAACAAGAAAAUUUCCAGAGCCACGAGGUGAAGCAUCACGCACCACCACCACCACCACCACAAUCACCACCACCAGCAUCAUCACUCCCCACUUACCAGGAAGCGCAACAACUACAACAACAACAACAGCAGGAGGAAGAGGAAGAUUUGUAUGAGGAACCACCACGUCAGUUCCAGCCACAACCACCACCACCACCACCACCACCACCACCAUUCCAGCAACAAGCUUCUCUACCACAAUUUCAACCACCACCACCACAUAGAGGGGACUUCCGCCCACAGCCACCACCGCAGUUUGCACGCCCGCCACCGCCACCACGCCCACAGAGAACCUUCAGGGGGCGUCCGGAGGUGGGCGUGAGGUACCGGGGAGCGAAAGCAAGGACCGCCCAUACACUGGAGGAGGCGCUGACGCAGAGAAGACCAGGGUUUUAAAAAGGUGUUGUGUGUGUAGUGUGUGUGUGUGUGUGUGUGUGUGUGUGUGUGUGUGUGUGUGUGUGUGUGUGUGUGUGUGUGUGUGUGUGUGUGUGUGUGUGUGUGUGUGUG
rnacentral:misc_RNA from 1 species